rnacentral:rRNA from 1 species
CGGACGGGNGAGUAACGCGUGAGGAACCUGCCCAUAAGAGGGGGAUAAUCCAUGGAAACGUGGACUAAUACCGCAUAUUGUAGUUAAGUUGCAUGACUUGAUUAUGAAAGAUUUAUCGCUUAUGGAUGGACUCGCGUCAGAUUAGAUAGUUGGUGAGGUAACGGCCCACCAAGGCGACGAUCGGUAGCCGGACUGAGAGGUUGAACGGCCACAUUGGGACUGAGACACGGCCCAGACUCCUACGGGAGGCAGCAUG